AUUUUGAACGAAAGGGAAUACGGUUCCAAUUCCGUAACCUGUUGAGUAUCCGUUUGUUAAUAAAUAUGGGCCUUGUGCUCAUCCUGGCAACAGGAACGACCAUAAAGAAGCCGUCGAGAGAUAUCGGAAGAGUUUUCUUUUCUGUUUUAUAGUCGUACUACCAUGGAAGUCUUUCGAAGAGAGAUAUGGUAGAUGGGCUAGAAGAGCAUGACAUUUACUGUUGUGUCGAUAUUUUCUCCUCGGACCUUGAAAAUUUAUGGUGGGGUCACGCAAACUUCUCAACAGGCCGUACCAAUAUCCGCAGCUGGUCUCCAAGGUGAAGAGUCUCUAGUCGAUAGAAUAAUGUAGGUAAGGGAAGUCGGCAAAUUAGAUCCGUAACUUCGGGAUAAGGAUUGGCUCUGAAGAUUGAGAUAGUCGGGCUUGAUUGGGAAGCAAUAACAUGGUUUAUGUACUCGUUCUGGGUAAAUAGAGAUUUUCGGAUCUUGUUCCUCGGAUAGUAGUUACGUAGCCAAUUGUGGAACUUUCUUGCUAAAAUUUUUAGGGAAUUAUCGCAAGAUAUAUUCCUUUUAAAUUAUAACGACUAUCAAUUAACAAUCAAUUCAGAACUGGCACGGACUUGGGGAAUCCGACUGUCUAAUUAAAACAAAGCAUUGUGAUGGCCCUAACGGGUGUUGACACAAUGUGAUUUCUGCCCAGUGCUCUGAAUGUCAAAGUGAAGAAAUUCAAGUAAGCGCGGGUAAACGGCGGGAGUAACUAUGACUCUCUUAAGGUAGCCAAAUGCCUCGUCAUCUAAUUAGUGACGCGCAUGAAUGGAUUAACGAGAUUCCUACUGUCCCUAUCUACUAUCUAGCGAAACCACAGCCAAGGGAACGGGCUUGGAAUAAUUAGCGGGGAAAGAAGACCCUGUUGAGCUUGACUCUAAUCUGGCAGUGUAAGGAGACAUAAGAGGUGUAGCAUAAGUGGGAGAUACUGGUCUUUCGGGGCCUUUGUCACCAAUGAAAUACCACUACUCUUAUUGUUUCCUUACUUACUUGAUUAAGUGGAACGUGUAUCAUUUCUUAGCCAUUAUACGGAUAUAUUUAUAUAUCUUAUGGUAUUGGGUUAUGAUGCAAGCUUCUUGAUCAAAGUACUAAGAGUUUGUUAUAUAAUUGUAAACAAAUUUUAAUGAGAUGAUGGCAUUUCGGUGCUAUUGUCAAUAUUUGAAAUUUGGUAUAACUCCCAAUACUCAGGUAUGAUCCAAUUCAAGGACAUUGCCAGGUAGGGAGUUUGACUGGGGCGGUACAUCUCUCAAAUAAUAACGGAGGUGUCCCAAGGCCAGCUCAGUGCGGACAGAAACCACGUGAAUUCAAUUUGGAUGCUGCCGAUAAUGCCAACGCCGACGGUGAAGUUUAUAUUGCUCAAGAAGAACAAGUUCCUGAAGCUCCAGUUGUCGAGGUCGAAGCUCCUGUCGAAGAACCCGUUGAAGCACCCGUCGAAGUACCCGUUGAGGCCCCAGUCGAAGCUCCCGUCGAAGUUGCCGUAGCUGCUGAAUUACCUGCUCCUGCUCCCAUUGCUCCCGUAGCCAAGCCCGUUAACCGUUAUUUGCCCGCCAAAAAGAAGGUUUACGUUGAAUUGGACCAAUCCGUUGAAUCUGCCGAAGAAACCGGUUUAGCUGCUGCCUCCGUCGAAGAAGAAGAAGAAGACGAACCCGUAGCCCCUGUUGUUCCUGCUCGCCGCCCUGCUCGUCGUCCCGCUGCCAAGAAACCCGCUAAGGCUACUCCUCCCAAGAAGGAAGAAA
rnacentral:rRNA from 1 species